CCCUUAGAUGUUCUGGGCCGCACGCGCGCUACACUGACUACUUCAACGAGUUGUUUCCUUGAUCGAAAGGUCUGGGUAAUCUUUGAAAGGUAGUCGUGAUGGGGAUAGAUCCUUGCAAUUUUUGAUCUUCAACGAGGAAUUCCUAGUAAACGCAAGUCAUCAGCUUGCAUUGAUUACGUCCCUGCCCUUUGUACACACCGCCCGUCGCACCUACCGAUUGAAUGGUCCGGUGAAUCUUUAGGACUGUGGCUGAGGCCUUGCCUUGUGCGGGUCUGGCCGUGGGAAUUUAGUUAAACCUUACCAUUUAGAGGAAGGGGAAGUCGUAACA
rnacentral:rRNA from 1 species